rnacentral:rRNA from 1 species
GAAUAUUGGACAAUGGGCGAAAGCCUGAUCCAGCAAUGCCGCGUGGGUGAAGAAGGCCUUCGGGUUGUAAAGCCCUUUCAGUGGGGAAGAAAAGCGGGGUGCUAACACCACCCUGUCAUGACGUUACCUACAGAAGAAGCCCCGGCUAACUCCGUGCCAGCAGCCGCGGUAAUACGGAGGGUGCGAGCGUUAAUCGGAAUUACUGGGCGUAAAGGGCGCGUAGGUGGUUUGGCCAGUCGGAUGUGAAAGCCCCGAGCUUAACUCGGGAAUGGCAUUCGAUACUACCUCACUAGAGUAUGGUAGAGGGAAGCGGAAUUCCCGGUGUAGCGGUGAAAUGCGUAGAUAUCGGGAGGAACAUCAGUGGCGAAGGCGGCUUCCUGGACCAAUACUGACACUGAGGCGCGAAAGCGUGGGGAGCAAACAGG